rnacentral:rRNA from 1 species
AGAACGAACGCUGGCGGCAGGCUUAACACAUGCAAGUCGAGCGCCCCGCAAGGGGAGCGGCAGACGGGUGAGUAACGCGUGGGAACAUACCCUCCGGUUCGGAAUAGCUCAGGGAAACUUGGAUUAAUACCGGAUACGGCCUAGCGGCGAAAGAUUGAUCGCCGGAGGAUUGGCCCGCGUCUGAUUAGCUAGUUGGUGGGGUAAUGGCCCACCAAGGCGACGAUCAGUAGCUGGUCUGAGAGGAUGAUCAGCCACAUUGGGACUGAGACACUGCCCAAACUCCUACGGGAGGCAGCAGUGGGGAAUAUUGGACAAUGGGCGCAAGCCUGAUCCAGCCAUGCCGCGUGAGUGAUGACGGCCUUAGGGUUGUAAAGCUCUUUCGCUAGGGACGAUAAUGACGGUACCUAGACAAGAAGCCCCGGCUAACUUCGUGCCAGCAGCCGC